CUUUCAACAACGGAUCUCUUGGCUCUGGCAUCGAUGAAGAACGCAGCGAAAUGCGAUAAGUAAUGUGAAUUGCAGAAUUCAGUGAAUCAUCGAAUCUUUGAACGCACAUUGCGCCCGCCAGUAUUCUGGCGGGCAUGCCUGUUCGAGCGUCAUUACAA
rnacentral:rRNA from 2 species